CCUGCCAACUUCCUGCCAGUGUGUCUCCCUGUGCCAGGAACUGGCUUCUUUUGUCCUGACAGUGGCAAAUCCACAUGCAUGACUCCAUUUUUUUGGAGUCCAGGUUCAGUUUGCAAAGAGGCCAGAGAAGAAAACUGUUCUUGGGCUAAGGCCAGUUGCUGCUUCUUGACGCCCUCUCUUAUGACGGUUGACAGUGGGUGAGUCCAGUUCCUUCAAAGGAAAGUCUUCCUCCUCCCACCUCCAGCUUCCUUGAAUUAUGGCCACAGAGGAUCAAUGGCAUGAGAGUGACAGAGACUACUUGGGAGACUGCAUUGUUUGAUCUGUCCCCCCGACAAUAAUAACACAUAACACGCUAGUCUUCGUCCUGCCUGGUCAGGGAGGAAAGCUUUGACCAUCUGCUCCCUGCAAUUGGAGUGCCCCCAGCUAUGAUCCACCAGCAAUCGCUUAUCCCUGCCACUCAGCCAUUUAUCAGUACUGUCCUGUCUAAAUCCCAAAAUACAAAAGCUGUACUCCCCCUAGAGGAACAAAACCUUCUGAGAUUCGGUGCUGGAUUGAUCCCAAAUACCAAUUUACUUCCCCUGAACGAACCUCGAGCUCUGCUUGCCCAACAAUGGUACCACUAGAGGUCAGCUGUGGAGGGUUACAGAGCAGCUCCACCACUUCAUCCCACACAGACCCUGCCAACCACGGCAGAAUGGAGAGGAGCCCCCUGAACCUCCACCUAGCCGUGUGAUCUGCUCAGGGUUCCGUGUUUUGGGGGAGGGGAAAGAGGCCGCCUCUGGGGACACUCCACACUCUGUUCUUUCUGCCUCACAGGGUCUCAGAAGCUUCCGAAUGAUGCCCCACCACUUGCAAGAGGGGCAGGUGGUAUGGA
rnacentral:lncRNA from 10 species